rnacentral:rRNA from 1 species
GAUGAACGCUGGCGGCGUGCCUAAUACAUGCAAGUCGAGCGAACGGACGAGAAGCUUGCUUUUCUGAUGUUAGCGGCGGACGGGUGAGUAACACGUGGAUAACCUACCUAUAAGACUGGGAUAACUUCGGGAAACCGGAGCUAAUACCGGAUAAUAUUUUGAACCGCAUGGUUCAUAAGUGAAAGACGGUCUUGCUGUCACUUAUAGAUGGAUCCGCGCUGCAUUAGCUAGUUGGUAAGGUAACGGCUUACCAAGGCAACGAUGCAUAGCCGACCUGAGAGGGUGAUCGGCCACACUGGAACUGAGACACGGUCCAGACUCCUACGGGAGGCAGCAGUAGGGAAUCUUCCGCAAUGGGCGAAAGCCUGACGGAGCAACGCCGCGUGAGUGAUGAAGGUCUUCGGAUCGUAAAACUCUGUUAUUAGGGAAGAACAUAUGUGUAAGUAACUGUGCACAUCUUGACGGUACCUAAUCAGAAAGCCACGGCUAGCUACGUG